rnacentral:lncRNA from 1 species
AAAAAGACAAAAAGAUUAAAAAAAAAAUGUCAAAAAUGAUGACCAUGAAAACAAUUAACUUGAAUAACCGGUAUAGUAUUAGGAUUACUCCAGAUAAAACUCAUGGAUAUAGUAUCUCGUUCAUUUAACAUAAGCAAUUGCAAAAUAGACGAAAAGUUCAAAAAGCAUAAAUAACUUCAUAAGUUCAUAACUCACAAUAUUUGUUGACACGGUUGAUGCAUAGUAAUAUGUAUCGGUUGCAGAGCUCAUGCUCUUGUGAACAUGGAAAACAUCAGAGUUCACUUACACUGUGAACUCUGUUAAAUAAUGGUCUUGUGCAACUCAAUGUAGUUGUUGAAAGGACAUUCAACUUGAAGGAGAAGUUUCUGAUGCCUUGGACUUUGGGUGCAAUACACCUAACAUAGAAUAAUACAUUAUCUUCUUGAUUGUCACGAUCCACAACAAGCAGUUCUCCAUCUUCACUACUUCGCUCUUUGAAAAAAAAACCUUCGAUGAUAACCAAUACAAAUAUACAUUGUUUGUCCACAAUCAAACAUCUUCAAAUCCCCAAAGUGCACAUAUCUGGCGUAGGCAUAUAGAUAACGGUAAGACCUAGUGAAGCCAAAACCGGUGAUAGGGCAACUCUGAAUGUGUUUCCAUUUCAGUGGAUGUGAAAGUUUUGGGGCAACCUAGCUCUGUGUUUUGAUAUAGAAUCUGAAACACCCCUUUAUAAUACCAAAGUCAAAAGAUAUUGGGAUAAAUAACUAUUAGUGAAAAUCCAAUUGUUAAGCAAAACCACACCUAGUUUGAGACUACAAUCAUUAAUCAAUGGCUUAAAUCUAUUUAUCAUGAGGCACAAUGCCAUUGUUCUACACAGUUGGGUAUAGGGCUGGGCAAAAAAAAAAAAAAAUAUAUAUAUAUAUACACAUAAGAUUAAAAUUAAGUAAAUCAAAACAAGAAUACGUACGUUUCUUCACCAAAACAAGAGAUCAUUAAAAGCAGAUUUUUAAAUUAAAAAAAAAAGUCAUCGGUUAGUCUUUUUAUAUGAAAAUUAAUUAAAUUGUGAAGGUUUCGCAGUGCAAUAGAAGUUCUAAUUUUCAGAAAAUAUAAUAUUGAAAAUCAAAAAUAAAUUAUCAUAGUAAAAGGACACAUGUCAUCUUGUAAUAAAAGUUACUAUGUGGCGCUAGAAGAGUGGUAACGUAUACCCGCGAAAGUACACAUCAUUUUCAUGAAUAUUUAAAAGCAAAAAAUGUAUUUAAUAGUUAAAAGCAAUAAAGGUAUUUAAACUUCAGAUAUGACUAAAUGACCUUUUCGAAUAAAUAUUUUGGAGUAAAUUUGUUUUACUCUCUAUUCAGCUUUAUUAUUACCAAUCAAAUGAAAUGCAGCAGAAAUAUAUUUCAGCUGAACAUCGCUGAAAAAAAGUGAAAAACUUCCCACUUGUCUUAACAAGAAGAAAAUGUUACUUGAUCUCUCGGUUUUCUCCGUUCAUUUUCUUUUUAUUUAUUUAUUUUUAUUUUACUAGUUUACUUUAUUUAUUAUUUUAUUUUUCCUCUCAUUCCAUCUAUUUUAUUUACUCUAAGUUUCGCUAUUCUUUACCAACACUUCCAUUGAUACAAUGUUUGCAGAGAAAGUAAAGAUUGACACAAUGUUGGAUUGCUAUGAAUGCAAAAGGCAUCACUAUUUUUGUUACUAAAGCAAUCAGGUCGAGGUGGGCGACUAAUGAUUUACACUUUCAACAGGGCCCAAUCAACUAACCCAUACCAUAGAUUACGGCAUGAUAUAAGGGUCGAUGUGGCUAUAUAUUUAUUUUUCG